CCUACGGGAGGCAGCAGUGGGGAAUAUUGGACAAUGGGCGAAAGCCUGAUCCAGCAAUGCCGCGUGAGUGAUGAAGGCCUUCGGGUCGUAAAGCUCUUUUACCAGGGAUGAUAAUGACAGUACCUGGAGAAUAAGCUCCGGCUAACUCCGUGCCAGCAGCCGCGGUAAUACGGAGGGAGCUAGCGUUGUUCGGAAUUACUGGGCGUAAAGAGUACGUAGGCGGUUAUUCAAGUCAGAGGUGAAAGCCCGGGGCUCAACCCCGGAACUGCCUUUGAAACUAGAUAACUAGAGUCUUGGAGAGGUUAGUGGAAUUCCGAGUGUAGAGGCGAAAUUCGUAGAUAUUCGGAAGAACACCAGUGGCGAAGGCGACUAACUGGACAAGUACUGACGCUGAGGUACGAAAGCGUGGGGAGCAAACAGGAUUAGAUACCCUGGUAGUCCACGCCGUAAACGAUGAUAACUAGUUGUUCGGUCACUUGGUGACUGAGUGACGCAGCUAACGCAUUAAGUUAUCCGCCUGGGGAGUACGGUCGCAAGNUUAAAACUUAAAUGAAUUGACGG
rnacentral:rRNA from 1 species